CACUUAGUGGCGAACGGUGAGUAACGCGUGAGAAACCUGUCCUUCAGUGGGGACAACAGUUGGAAACGACUGCUAAUACCGCAUAACGUAUUUUGGGGGCAUCCCUGAAAUACCAAAGCUUUAUGUGCUGAAAGAUGGUCUCGCGUCUGAUUAGCUAGAUGGCGGGGUAACGGCCCACCAUGGCGACGAUCAGUAGCCGGUCUGAGAGGAUGAACGGCCACAUUGGGACUGAGAUACGGCCCAGACUCCUACGGGAGGCAGCAGUGGGGAAUAUUGGGCAAUGGGGGAAACCCUGACCCAGCAACGCCGCGUGAAGGAAGAAGGCCUUCGGGUUGUAAACUUCUUUUAGCAGGGACGAAUACGUGACGGUACCUGCAGAAAAAGCAACGGCUAACUACGUG
rnacentral:rRNA from 1 species